UACGGAGGGGGUUAGCGUUGUUCGGAAUGACUGGGCGUAAAGCGCGCGUAGGCGGAUCAUCAAGUCGGGGGUGAAAUCCCGGGGCUCAACCCCGGAAUGGCCUUCGAGACUGGUGGUCUUGAGUUCGAGAGAGGUGAGUGGAAUUCCGAGUGUAGAGGUGAAAUUCGUAGAUAUUCGGAGGAACACCAGUGGCGAAGGCGGCUCACUGGCUCGACACUGACGCUCAUGCACGAAAGCGUGGGGAGCAAACCGG
rnacentral:rRNA from 1 species